AGAGUUUGAUUCUGGCUCAGAUNNNACGCUGGCGGCAUGCCUUACACAUGCAAGUCGAACGGUAACGCGGGGCAACCUGGCGACGAGUGGCGAACGGGUGAGUAAUGCAUCGGAACGUGCCUGGUAGUGGGGGAUAACUGUUCGAAAGAACAGCUAAUACCGCAUACGACCUGAGGGUGAAAGGGGGGGAUCGCAAGACCUCUCGCUAUCAGAGCGGCCGAUGUCGGAUUAGCUAGUUGGUGGGGUAAAGGCCCACCAAGGCAACGAUCCGUAGCUGGUCUGAGAGGACGACCAGCCACACUGGGACUGAGACACGGCCCAGACUCCUACGGGAGGCAGCAGUGGGGAAUUUUGGACAAUGGACGCAAGUCUGAUCCAGCCAUGCCGCGUGCGGGAAGAAGGCCUUCGGGUUGUAAACCGCUUUUGUCAGGGAAGAAAUCUUCUGAGUUAAUACCUCGGGAGGAUGACGGUACCUGAAGAAUAAGCACCGGCUAACUACGUGCCAGCAGCCGCGGUAAUACGUAGGGUGCAAGCGUUAAUCGGAAUUACUGGGCGUAAAGCGUGCGCAGGCGGUUAUGCAAGACAGGUGUGAAAUCCCCGAGCUCAACUUGGGAACUGCACUUGUGACUGCAUAGCUAGAGUACGGUAGAGGGGAGUGGAAUUCCGCGUGUAGCAGUGAAAUGCGUAGAUAUGCGGAGGAACACCGAUGGCGAAGGCAGCUCCCUGGACCUGUACUGACGCUCAUGCACGAAAGCGUGGGGAGCNNNCAGGAUUAGAUACCCUGGUAGUCCACGCCCUAAACGAUGUCAACUGGUUGUUGGGA
rnacentral:rRNA from 1 species